rnacentral:lncRNA from 1 species
AGGGUCUCUCCCUCUGCUGUUCCUUCUGCUGCGUCCCAAGCUCGAGGCUGGCUGGCCUAGCUUCUCUGGACACUUCUGUUUCUAGCUGCCCUCCUGCCGGAGGAGUGUGAGGAUUGGAGAUGCAGCUCUGUCACCGAAUGCUUGCGUCUAAGAGCAUACUGCCUGAAGUGCUGUCUGGGACUGAGGGAAAAUGACAACAAACAAUUCGACCUUGCACUUACUUCAAGAUCCUCUACCCGGCACUGCCUUAAGAGCUCCAUUUCGGCACUAAGAUUAAAGUGCUGCAGCUCAAAACACAGCCUUGCCAACUUGGCUCCAGGGAAGGAGCAGCCAUUGGAACAAUGCAGGCAAUUUAAUCGUGUUGCAGAGAGGAGUAAGCCCAAGUCUGGAGGCUUAACUGGAAUGGAAUGCAAUUCCCUCGUCCCAGUAGGAUGAAUGAAAGUGGGGCUGAGGUGGACAAAAGACAACAUCCAAAAUGACAUAAAAAUUAACCACCCAACUCAAUGAAUUACCCACGAGAUAAUGGGAUAAAUGUUUGUGAGUCAGACCAAAGAGCAAAAACAGAACAGAAAGAAAGAAUUCUCAACUGUAGGCUGAAACCUUUCUACUUCGUUCUGUGAGGCAAAAUCUCAGUCUCUCUCUUUCCAUUUAAGUUCAGGUUUUAAAACUCGGUUGUUCUCUAUGGAAUUGAAGCCUGUGUAGACCAUUGUGUGUAGCUGUAUUUCAAAUACUGUUCUCUCUGUUAUCACUCAAACUCCUAGUUAUUCAGUUUGACCUGAAAUUAAAGAACAGAAUUGUUUCAUGCUUUAAAAUUACUUCCCAUUAUUUUAUAGAGAUAAAAACAAGUUAUAAAAAAAACCUUAGGUAUAAGCCAAGUUAGAGUUCAUAAUUAGAUUAGCAGAAUAAAAACCAUAGUCAUAUGUCUGUUCCCCUAUUU